ANACNUGCAGUCGACGAACUUCCGUUAAUUGAUUAUGACGUACUUGUACUGAUUGAGAUUUUAACACGAAGUGAGUGGCGAACGGGUGAGUAACACGUGGGUAACCUGCCCAGAAGUAGGGGAUAACACCUGGAAACAGAUGCUAAUACCGUAUAACAGAGAAAACCGCAUGGUUUUCUUUUAAAAGAUGGCUCUGCUAUCACUUCUGGAUGGACCCGCGGCGUAUUAGCUAGUUGGUGAGGUAAAGGCUCACCAAGGCAGUGAUACGUAGCCGACCUGAGAGGGUAAUCGGCCACAUUGGGACUGAGACACGGCCCAGACUCCUACGGGAGGCAGCAGUAGGGAAUCUUCCACAAUGGACGCAAGUCUGAUGGAGCAACGCCGCGUGAGUGAAGAAGGGUUUCGGCUCGUAAAGCUCUGUUGUUAAAGAAGAACGUGGGUAAGAGUAACUGUUUACCCAGUGACGGUAUUUAACCAGAAAGCCACGGCUAACUACGUGCCAGCAGNC
rnacentral:rRNA from 1 species